rfam:Stegodyphus mimosarum contig106764, whole genome shotgun sequence.
GCUUUCGUGGUGUAGUGGUCAGCACACCCGACGCGUAACCAAGAGGUCCGUGGUUCGAUUCCCGGCGAAGGCG